rnacentral:lncRNA from 1 species
UGGUGGAGUCAUCAUAGGCAUAGGUGGUGGAGUCAUCAUAGGUGGUGGAGUCAUCAUAGGCAUAGGUGGUGGAGUCAUCAUAGGCAUGGGUGGUGGAGUCGUCAUAGCCGGAGGAGGGAUCAUGUUUCCACCGCCGCCGCUAGGCAUUGGCGGCAUGGACAUUGAGCCGGAAGGAGCCAUCAUGGGAGCUUGAGCUAAAGAGAAAGGAACUAAAACCAUAGACAAUGCAAGGAAGAGGAAGGCUUGUGGAGAGGAAGAAGAGGCCAUGGUUAAGUGUGUUUCUGUGUUGAAUAGUGGUUUAUGUAAAGUGAUAUAUAGAGAGAGAGAGAGAGUAGUAGUAAAAUAAAGAGUGGAAGAGAAAAGUGAAGGUUCUUUGUGCUAUUAGGGUAUAUAUUAUAGAGAUUAUUUGUUUUUAGAUUUUUAGAUCGUUGGAUACAUUGUGUGACACGUAUCAGUCAAUGGAUAGGUAUGAGAUGCUGAUUUAGUUUCCUCCACAUAUUGGAAAGAAAAAAAAAAAGAUGAAAAUUCCAAAGCGAAAUCUCUUUGUAAGAGGUACAUAUAGAAUAGUCAAUAUAUAUGAAAAAUGGGGAUAUAUAUUAUGA